AUCACAAGGUGCUUAGUUAAUUGAUAUUUUAACCGUAACUUUCCAUGUCUCAUCAGCAUCCAGCUCCGGCCGCAGUUUGAUAACUUUCUCAAAAGAGAGUUGAGAAAAGGAGCAAAGAGAUCGGACCGGAGAUGGGAAGCUGGGACGCUGUAAUCUCUGCAGUGUUGGGUGUGAUCAUGAGGAAGAGCAUCUGCCGGUUCCAGGAGAUGGGGAAGGUGGCCAUGGAGUUCAUGUCGGUCCUCUCGACGGCGGUCUGGUUUUCCGGCCUGGUUUUCCGGCGGCCGGUUUCAAUUCCGACCAGGUACUCCCCCUCGUCAUCCAUGGUGGCCAGGCAUGACAGGUCUACGACAUAUCAAGUGGUGUGACAAGGUGAGGGCGAAAGCAGAUGUGUCUCAAAUUAGGCUUCGCCUGUAUGGAUUUUGUUUUAUUUUCGGUUGUGUGAAACUAGCACCGUAUGUCUCGGUCGAUGGUGUUUCUUUUAUGCAUUUGCUUAGUUUUUCUUGAACAAACUCUUUGCAUGCUGUUGUUUGAAGGCAAUAAAGAUCGUAUAGACGUGACAUAUAUCCAGUGUUUUUGGAAAUUGAAUUAUGAGAACAUUCUCUUUUGUGUCUGUGGCAUUUGGGUGGGUUUUGUUUCCAGGUUUGACAAAUGUGGGGAUAGUCGAUCUUGUGGUGGACUUUGAUCUAGGUUGUCUGGGUGGAGCUUGUUCUGGUGAUCAGGGAGUUUUCGGGCUAAGAUUUGGUUAUGGUGUGGAAUUUGGUUUCGUUUUUGAGAUCAGAUAUUGUUCUUUUAGGUACGUCAUUCUACCAAAGGAUUGUAAGCUAUGAAAUGUCGAUAAAUUUAGGUUUAAGUAUGCCAGCUGCUGCUACGAUUUAAUCAUUAAGAAGGAGAUCUUUUUCAGUUAUUUGUUUAUUUAGUAACCAAGUUUGAGGAAUGAAAUGGCCUGUAAGCAGUUACAGUGAUCAAUAUGAAUUAAAUGCUGUUGCUGUUCAAAAUUUAUUGAGUAAAACCGCUUCUCAAAAGUAGAAAAUAAAAAGAGUUAAACGCUAGUUUGCUGUGGGAGUUUUCACGUUUAUAUGUCUUUCUGCAGAUAAAUUAAUAUUGCUGGUUUCAUACAAGACUACCAGAUCCAUGGAUCGUUUCAUCAGGUUUCAUCGGUACAAUCUAUAUAUAUAAUCCUGUGCCAUUCUUUUAUUUUACGAUAAGGAAAAAGAGAAUGAAAAGCAUAAAUAGCCGUGAAAACAUUCCAAUUCUAUGAAUAAUCAAUCUCAUGUACAAGAACAAAAAAAAACAUGACCGAUUCACACCAAUUACUUUAUUGGCAAAAGUACCGUGAAUUUUAAUUAUAUAUCUUGCUCAUUGAUCCGUUCUUUUUGGUACACAAAGGCUAAUAUAUAGGAGCAAGCUAUUCUCUUUAUCCCAAAAAAAAAAAAACAAGAAGAGGAAGAAAAAGCUAGCUAAUUGCGUCUCAAGAAUAAAAGGAAAAAGAAAAAUAAAAGUCAGCAACUGUAAAUGACUUUUCAUUUGUUAAGUAACCAUUCAAAAACUACAAUUAUAUCUACCCUUUCUUUGAUGCAUGUGCCUGUCAAAAUGUGGGCUAUAACCAGUGAUUGUUAGGCUUUUCAUAAUGAUGGGAUAUGAGCAUAUCAUUUAUCAGCCCUUCAAUAUUAUUCAUGUAUAUAAAUAAUGACACUACAAUCUUGUUUUAGUUAUUUCCAUCGAAGGAUAGGCCUUUUGAACAUAGUUUUUUCUAUGAGUUAUUCAUCUUGCCAUGCGAUCUGUUAGUUGCCUGUCAAUAUAUCAAGGUGGGGAUUCUUCUUUUUUUCCCCAUAAUUUCUCGUUUGCUACGUGAUCAAGAAAGCAACCUCAAUAGCCAACGUAUCUCCAGUUCAAAUUAUAUUUGUAAGACUCCUUGCACAGCUUUGCAGUGCAGUUUAUAAGGUAUGUUCUUUAAUUGAAAUUAGUCCUAUCUAUUCUUAUCAUAUUUCUUGCAUUGCAUCGUCCUUCAACAGCAUUUUAAUUAGAUAAAUUUGCAUCAACGCCUCCAUCUUGUUAACACAAAAUUUUCCACUGAAGUGAAAUAAGGAAGGUGCAUUCAUUCUUGGGGGUUUUCAUUGUUACAUGUGAUUAUGAUUAUUAAGGAAAAAACAUCACAUUUUAGUGAGACCUGCAAUUUUGUUCAAAUCUAAUUAUUUGGAGCAGAUGCACAUGGAAAUGAGCAGAUCAUACAAAUGUUUGACAUGGAUUUUUGGAAACACAACGAGAAAAUAAAUUAGGAUUUUGUUGCAUGAAGAUCAGAAGUUGCAUAUGUAAGGGAUAGAGAGGUGGUAAGCUCGUUAGGUAAUGAUGAACAAAGAAGUGCUGACGAUAUUUGAAUCAGAAAAUAAUAAGGGCUGUAUUUUUUGGACAAGAGAGGAGGAACUAAGAAAAUGCAGUCAGGAGCUGGAGGAGAAAAGGAUUGAGAGAGCUCUUGUUGACGGAAAGAGCAACACCUGAUUGAGCAAGAUUUGUAGAGCCCUAGAGACCAUAAAGCAAAUUUGGAAUUGGGCAGAUCAGAACAGGGUUAUUGGCAGCUCCAAUCCGAGCCUUUCAAUGCGAGCUGAUCAUAGGAUGAAUCAUCGAUUUUCUUUGGAGAAGUUAUUUAUCUGGGCAAAUGAAAUUUAUGUCGAUCAUUUCUGCUGCUGGAGUAAUUCUGCUCAUAUUACCAUCAUGGCUGCUUUAUUUUUCUGCCAUCCCUAGUGUUUUCUGUCUGCAGUGGGUUUCUUUUUCUAAUUAAAAGAAGUUAUGUGAAGAUACUGGCCGAAGGUUCUUAUGUGAAAAAUAUCAUAUCACAUUUGGGACUAUCAUUUUUUUUUUUUUGAGAAAAGGACCUGAGAUUAACAUGAACGUAAUAAUUGUCAGGCAUUACUUCUGGACUACAUCUUUGCAUAAACUAAAGCUUUCUAAUUGUCUAGGCAA